UACGUAGGGACCAAGCGUUGUUCGGAUUUACUGGGCGUAAAGGGCGCGUAGGCGGCGUGGUAAGUCAGCUGUGAAAUCUCCGAGCUUAACUCGGAACGGUCAGCUGAUACUGCUGUGCUAGAGUACAGAAGGGGCAAUCGGAAUUCUUGGUGUAGCGGUGAAAUGCGUAGAUAUCAAGAGGAACACCGGUGGCGAAGGCGGGUCUCUGGGGCCGUAAACUGACGCUGAGGAGCGAAAGCGUGGGGAGCGAACAGG
rnacentral:rRNA from 1 species